ACAGCCUAACACAUGCAAGUCGAGCGGAUGAGAGGAGCUUGCUCUUCGAUUCAGCUGGCGGACGGGUGAGUAAUGCCUAGGAAUCUGCCUGGUAGUGGGGGACAACGUUUCGAAAGGAACGCUAAUACCGCAUACGUCCUACGUGGAGGAACGCAGGGGACCUUCGGGCCUUGCGGCUAUCAGAUGAGCCUANGUCGGAUUAGCUAGUUGGUGAGGUAAUGGCUCACCAAGGCGACGAUCCGUAACUAGUCUGAGAGGAUGAUCAGUCACACGUGGAACUGAGACACGGUCCAGUACUCCUACGGGAGGCAGCAGUGGGGAAUAUUGGACAAUGGGCGAAAGCCUGAUCCAGCCAUGCCGCGUGUGUGAAGAAGGUCUUCGGAUUGUAAGAGCACUUUAAGUUGGGAGGAAGGGUUGCACGUUAAUACCGUGCAAUUUUGACGUUACCGACAGAAUAAGCACCGGCUAACUCUGAGCCAGCAGCCGCGGUAAUACAGAGGGUGCAAGCGUUAAUCGGAAUUACUGGGCGUAAGGCGCGCGUAGGUAGGUUCGUUAACGUUGUGAUGUGAAAUCCCCGGGGCUCAAACCUGGGAACUGNCAUNCCAGAAACUGGGCGAACUAAAAUUGGUUGGGUAGAGGGGUGGUGGAAUUUCCUUGUGUUAG
rnacentral:rRNA from 1 species